UAGAGUUUCAGGUUUUCCUUUCUCAUUCUCUUAUGAUUCAGUUUCUGUUAGUGUUAGUUAGGGAAGUUUGUUACUUGUUUUUUCUGUUGAGAGUUAGUUGCUAUUGUUAGUUAUAUGGUAUGCUGAGUUGGCACAGUUGGUUGAAGGUUAGUUAUGUUAGUUAGAACGUGAAUUGAAUUCUGUUAAAGUUAGUUUGGUAGUUAAAGGUUGGUAUUUAGGUAGUUAGAAGUUAAGGGUUAGGAAAAGUGGUUGAAAAGGGUCAUGUUUGGACUGAAUUGUUAGAUUGAAUGCAGGGACUGUUCGACGUGGAUUUUUGUGCGGGACAAUUCGGCUUGCUGCAGACAUUUUAUUAGCUUCAAAUGGUAAUUCUUUAUUAUCUUCUGAUGCAGGUCUAAUGUGGUUAAUAUUGAGCAGCUGACUUGAAAAUUGUUAUGGACUUAUAUGAAUGUUGUAGGUUUCUGUGAAAUGGUGUAUUUGCCGGCCUGUGUUUAUAUAUGAUCAAAGACAUGAUGAUGCUAACUGGUGCGGUAUUGUGUGCGCAUGCGCAGGUUGAUUUUGGUUUGAAGGAUGCAGUUUUUUUCUUUUUGAAUGUGAGCUGUUGUAGGUUCAGCAUAUGGCUUUAUGAUGUUGGCAUUUUGGUGAAAAUGGAGGUUCUUUUGCAACAUGAAAGCAAUAUGGUCAUGGGUGAAGGAAACUUGAAGCAAUAGAGUCGGGAAUAGGUUUAGGGAUUUCCGUGUGUAAUAUUCUUUGAUGUUGUAAUGAUUGUGUAGGAAUUUGUAAUGGAAUGUCUCCUUUUGAAUGAUAACUUUCUUUUGUGAUUCAAGUGAUUCCAACCAAUUUUGAAUGGUA